rnacentral:rRNA from 1 species
GUGGGGAAUCUUCCGCAAUGGACGAAAGUCUGACGGAGCGACGCCGCGUGAGUGAAGAAGGCCUUCGGGUCGUAAAGCUCUGUCAUCAGGGACGAACGGCCGGUGGAGUGGAAAGCCACCGGAUUGACGGUACCUGAGAAGGAAGCCACGGCUAACUACGUGCCAGCAGCCGCGGUAAUACGUAGGUGGCAAUCGUUGUCCGGAAUUAUUGGGCGUAAAGCGCGCGCAGGUGGGAUCUUAAGUCCAUUUUGAAAGUUCGGAGCUCAACUCCGUGAUGGAAUGGAAACUGGGAUUCUUGAGUACCGGAGAGGAAAGCGGAAUUCCCCGUGUAGCGGUGAAAUGCGUAGAUAUGGGGAGGAACACCAGUGGCGAAGGCGGCUUUCUGGACGGUGUCUGACACUGAGGCGCGAAAGCCAGGGGAGCGAACGGGAUUAGAAACCCUAGUAGUCC